CCUGCUCCUAGAGGCAUUGCAGUUAUGGCUGCUGUGUCACAAGUGCAUCAAUAGGUGGCCACAGAGAAGAGUUUAUGACUGUGUUCAGUGUUCUGACCUAUGAACAUCUGAAUUUGUAGCCUAACAUU